rnacentral:rRNA from 1 species
ACUGCUCAGUAACACGUGGACAACUUACCCAAAAGUCCGGGAUAACCCCGGGAAACUGGGGAUAAUACCGGAUAGAUCAUCUGUGCUGGAAGGCUGGGUGGUUGAAACUUCCGGGGCUUUUGGAUGGGUCUGCGGCUGAUUAGGUUGUUGCCGGUGUAACGUACCGUCAAGCCUGUAAUCAGUACGGGUUGUGGGAGCAAGAGCCCGGAGAUGGAUUCUGAGACACGAAUCCAGGCCCUACGGGGCGCAGCAGGCGCGAAAACUCUACAAUGCAGGCAACUGCGAUAGGGGAACAUCGAGUGAUCCUCAUAUUGGGGGUCUGUCCACCCGUCUAAAAAACGGGUGUUAGCAAGGGCCGGGCAAGACCGGUGCCAGCCGCCGCGGUAAUACCGGCGGCUCGAGUGGUGGCCGAUAUUAUUGAGUCUAAAGGGUCCGUAGCCGGCUUUGCAAGUCUCUCGGGAAAUCCAGCGGCUUAACCGUUGGUCGUCCGGGGGGUACUACAUUGCUUGGGACUGGGAGAGGUAGGAGGUACUCAGGGGGUAGGAGUGAAAUCCUGUAAUCCUUUGGGGACCACCGGUGGCGAAGGCGUCCUACCAGAACAGGUCCGACGGUGAGGGACGAAAGCUAGGGGCACGAACCGGAUUAGAUACCCGGGUAGUCCUAGCCGUAAACGAUGCUCGCUAGGUGUCACAACAGUCGUGAAUUGUUGUGGUGCCGUAGGGAAGCCGUGAAGCGAGCCACUUGGGAAGUACGACCGCAAGGUUGAAACUUAAAGGAAUUGGCGGGGGAGCAC